AUACAGAGGGUGCGAGCGUUAAUCGGAAUUACUGGGCGUAAAGCGCGCGUAGGCGGUCUAUUAAGUCAGAUGUGAAAUCCCAGGGCUCAACCUUGGAACUGCAUCUGAUACUGGUAGACUAGAGUUUUGGAGAGGGAAGUAGAAUUUCAGGUGUAGCGGUGAAAUGCAUAGGGAUCUGAAGGAAUACCAGUGGCGAAGGCGACUUCCUGGCCAAAAACUGACGCUGAGGUGCGAAAGCGUGGGUAGCAAACGGGAUUAGAAACCCGAGUAGUCC
rnacentral:rRNA from 1 species